rnacentral:rRNA from 1 species
GACGAACGCUGGCGGCGUGCUUAACACAUGCAAGUCGAACGGAAAGGCCCUGCUUUUGUGGGGUGCUCGAGUGGCGAACGGGUGAGUAACACGUGAGUAACCUGCCCUUGACUUUGGGAUAACUUCAGGAAACUGGGGCUAAUACCGGAUAGGAGCUCCUGCUGCAUGGUGGGGGUUGGAAAGUUUCGGCGGUUGGGGAUGGACUCGCGGCUUAUCAGCUUGUUGGUGGGGUAGUGGCUUACCAAGGCUUUGACGGGUAGCCGGCCUGAGAGGGUGACCGGCGGAAUGGGGACUGAUAUACGGCGGAGAGUCGUACGGGUGGAGGCAGUGGGGAGGAGUGCGGCAUGGGGGGAGGUGUGAGGCAGCACCGCCGCGUGCGGGGUGAGGGCAUUCGGUUUGGAGAACGGAUGCGCCUGUUAAGAAGCGGGAGGGGGCGGGAUGGGUAAAGGAAGAAAGGAUCGUUAGAGC